UACGGGGGGUGCGAGCGUUGUCCGGAUUCACUGGGCGUAAAGGGCGCGUAGGCGGCCCGGUCAGUCGGUCCUUUAAGAGCGGGGCUCACCCCCGUGGGGGGACCGGGACGGCCGGGCUGGGGCGCGGCAGAGGGGGACGGAAUGCCGGGUGUAGUGGUGAAAUGCGUAGAGAUCCGGCGGAACACCGGUGGCGCAGGCGGUCCCCUGGGCCGAGGCCGACGCUGAGGCGCGACAGCGUGGGGAGCAAACGAGG
rnacentral:rRNA from 1 species